rnacentral:rRNA from 1 species
GAUGAACGCUGGCGGCGUGCCUAAUACAUGCAAGUCGAGCGAACAGACGAGGAGCUUGCUCCUCUGACGUUAGCGGCGGACGGGGGAGUAACACGUGGAUAACCUACCUAUAUGACUGGGAUAACUUCGGGAAACCGGAGCUAAUACCGGAUAAUAUAUUGAACCGCAUGGUUCAAUAGUGAAAGACGGUUUUGCUGUCACUUAUAGAUGGAUCCGCGCCGCAUUAGCUAGUUGGUAAGGUAACGGCUUACCAAGGCAACGAUGCGUAGCCGACCUGAGAGGGUGAUCGGCCACACUGGAACUGAGACACGGUCCAGACUCCUACGGGAGGCAGCAGUAGGGAAUCUUCCGCAAUGGGCGAAAGCCUGACGGAGCAACGCCGCGUGAGUGAUGAAGGUCUUCGGAUCGUAAAACUCUGUUAUUAGGGAAGAACAAAUGUGUAAGUAACUAUGCACGUCUUGACGGUACCUAAUCAGAAAGCCACGGCUAACUACGUG